UACGUAGGCAGCGAGCGUUGUUCGGAGUUACUGGGCGUAAAGGGUGUGUAGGCGGUUAUUUAAGUUUGGUGUGAAAUCUCCCGGCUCAACCGGGAGGGUGCGCCGAAUACUGAAUGACUUCGAGUGCGGGAGAGGAAAGUGGAAUUCCUGGUGUAGCGGUGAAAUGCGUAGAUAUCAGGAGGAACACCGGUGGUGUAGACGGCUUUCUGGACCGUAACUGACGCUGAGACACGAAAGCGUGGGUAGCAAACAGGAUUAGAUACCCUGGUAGUCCACGCCCUAAACGAUGCACAUUUGGUGUGGGUCAUUCAGUUGAUCCGUGCCGGAGCUAACGCGUUAAAUGUGCCGCCUGGGGAGUACAGUCGCAAGGCUGAAACUCAAAGGAAUUGACGGGGGCCCGCACAAGCGGUGGAGCAUGUGGUUCAAUUCGACGCAACGCGAAGAACCUUACCUGGGCUCGAACGGCCGGUCAACGGCGGUGGAAACAUCGCUACCCCGCAAGGGGGUCCGGUCGAGGUGCUGCAUGGCUGUCGUCAGCUCGUGUCGUGAGAUGUUGGGUUAAGUCCCGCAACGAGCGCAACCCUUGUCCUGUGUUGCCAUGCCGAAAGGCGGAACUCGCAGGAGACCGCCAGCGAUAAGCUGGAGGAAGGUGGGGAUGACGUCAAGUCCUCAUGGCCUUUAUGUCCAGGGCUACACACGUGCUACAAUGGACGGUACAAAGCGCCGCUAACCCGCGAGGGGGAGCCAAUCGCAGAAAACCGUUCUCAGUUCGGAUUGCAGGCUGCAACUCGCCUGCAUGAAGCUGGAAUCGCUAGUAAUGGCAGAUCAGCACGCUGCCGUGAAUACGUUCCCGGGCCUUGUACACACCGCCCGUCACAUCACGAAAGUGGAUUGUACUAGAAGUCUGCAGGCUGACCCGCAAGGGGGGCAGCGGCCCAAGGUAUGAUCCAUGAUUGGGGUG
rnacentral:rRNA from 1 species